UACAGAGACCUCGAGCGUUAUCCGGAAUCAUUGGGCGUAAAGCGUACCGAUAGGUGGUUUGGAAAGUCAGCUGUGAAAUUCCAGGCUCAACCCUGGAACUGUCAGCCGAAACUUCUAAACUAGAGGGGCAAAGAGGAAGCUGGAACGAACGGUGUAGUAGUGAAAUGCGUUGAUAUCGUUCGGAACACCAAUAGCGUAGGCGAGGCUUCUGGGUGCCACCUGACACUGCUAGGACGAAAGCGUGGGGAGCGAAGUGGG
rnacentral:rRNA from 1 species